rnacentral:rRNA from 1 species
GACGAACGCUGGCGGCGUGCCUAAUACAUGCAAGUAGAACGCUGAAGAGAGGAGCUUGCUCUUCUUGGAUGAGUUGCGAACGGGUGAGUAACGCGUAGGUAACCUGCCUUGUAGCGGGGGAUAACUAUUGGAAACGAUAGCUAAUACCGCAUAACAAUGGAUGACACAUGUCAUUUAUUUGAAAGGGGCAAUUGCUCCACUACAAGAUGGACCUGCGUUGUAUUAGCUAGUAGGUGAGGUAAUGGCUCACCUAGGCGACGAUACAUAGCCGACCUGAGAGGGUGGUCGGCCAACCUGGGACUGGGACACGGCCCAGACUCCUACGGGAGGCAGCAGUAGGGAAUCUUCGGCAAUGGGGGCAAACCUGACCGAGCAACGCCGCGUGAGUGAAGAAGGUUUUCGGAUCGUAAAGCUCUGUUGUAAGUCGAGAACGGGUGUGAGAGUGGAAAGUUCACACUGUGACGGUAGCUUACCAGAAAGGGACGGCUAACUACGUG